rnacentral:rRNA from 1 species
ACAUGCAAGUCGAACGCGUUGGCCCAAUUGAUUGAUGGUGCUUGCACCUGAUUGAUUUUGGUCGCCAACGAGUGGCGGACGGGUGAGUAACACGUAGGUAACCUGCCCAGAAGCGGGGGACAACAUUUGGAAACAGAUGCUAAUACCGCAUAACAGCGUUGUUCGCAUGAACAACGCUUAAAAGAUGGCUUCUCGCUAUCACUUCUGGAUGGACCUGCGGUGCAUUAGCUUGUUGGUGGGGUAAUGGCCUACCAAGGCGAUGAUGCAUAGCCGAGUUGAGAGACUGAUCGGCCACAAUGGGACUGAGACACGGCCCAUACUCCUACGGGAGGCAGCAGUAGGGAAUCUUCCACAAUGGGCGCAAGCCUGAUGGAGCAACACCGCGUGAGUGAAGAAGGGUUUCGGCUCGUAAAGCUCUGUUGUUAAAGAAGAACACGUAUGAGAGUAACUGUUCAUACGUUGACGGUAUUUAACCAGAAAGUCACGGCUAACUACGUGCCAGCAGCCGCGGUAAUACGUAGGUGGCAAGCGUUAUCCGGAUUUAUUGGGCGUAAAGAGAGUGCAGGCGGUUUUCUAAGUCUGAUGUGAAAGCCUUCGGCUUAACCGGAGAAGUGCAUCGGAAACUGGAUAACUUGAGUGCAGAAGAGGGUAGUGGAACUCCAUGUGUAGCGGUGGAAUGCGUAGAUAUAUGGAAGAACACCAGUGGCGAAGGCGGCUACCUGGUCUGCAACUGACGCUGAGACUCGAAAGCAUGGGUAGCGAACAGGAUUAGAUACCCUGGUAGUCCAUGCCGUAAACGAUGAGUGCUAGGUGUUGGAGGGUUUCCGCCCUUCAGUGCCGGAGCUAACGCAUUAAGCACUCCGCCUGGGGAGUACGACCGCAAGGUUGAAACUCAAAGGAAUUGACGGGGGCCCGCACAAGCGGUGGAGCAUGUGGUUUAAUUCGAAGCUACGCGAAGAACCUUACCAGGUCUUGACAUCUUGCGCCAACCCUAGAGAUAGGGCGUUUCCUUCGGGAACGCAAUGACAGGUGGUGCAUGGUCGUCGUCAGCUCGUGUCGUGAGAUGUUGGGUUAAGUCCCGCAACGAGCGCAACCCUUGUUACUAGUUGCCAGCAUUAAGUUGGGCACUCUAGUGAGACUGCCGGUGACAAACCGGAGGAAGGUGGGGACGACGUCAGAUCAUCAUGCCCCUUAUGACCUGGGCUACACACGUGCUACAAUGGACGGUACAACGAGUCGCGAACUCGCGAGGGCAAGCAAAUCUCUUAAAACCGUUCUCAGUUCGGACUGCAGGCUGCAACUCGCCUGCACGAAGUCGGAAUCGCUAGUAAUCGCGGAUCAGCAUGCCGCGGUGAAUACGUUCCCGGGCCUUGUACACACCGCCCGUCACACCAUGAGAGUUUGUAACACCCAAAGUCGGUGGGGUAACCUUUUAGGAGCCAGCC